GUAGCUACUCUCUUCCAGAAAGGCGUGCUCCAUUGCAAAAUGGAUGAAAAAUCCUCCCUCUCUCCCGAGUCUCCUGGCCCUGAUGACUGAGGGAAGUGUGCUGCCCAAAAUACACAUCAGUCAGGUUAUCUAGACUAAGCUCCCAAAUCAUUCUAUUGUCCAGCCCCAGAACACAUUGUCUGAGAGUCCUGAAGACAUCACUCAGUUCCUUUGGACCUGGGUCAUGGCAGGAUGCUGCUUCAUAUUCAUCGCCCCGACAGUGCGUGUGGAUCCCACAUUUCCCUCCUUGGCACCCUCUGCUCCUUCCCUGCGCCUGUGGCUGCUCAGCAUGGGACAGCAGAGUGAAUUCUGCAAGGAUAACUGCAGAUAAUUCAUCCAACAAAUUGGAGCAAGGGGACACAUGGCAUGAGGAGGGAGAACCUGUUUUCAGAAAGGAUGAAGAAAUUUUUAAGACUUGAUGAACACAAGAUGUGCAACAUUUCAGAGGUAUAACAAAAUUCUUUCUCUGAUGAAAGGAUAAAGGCAGAGUUGUCUGCUUAGCUAGCACCACCAGUCUCAGAGCCAGGCCAGACUUCUGCCAAUGACCCCGAGACUUGAAGGAGCCAGGCUCAAAGAGAAGCACCCAAAAGGAAAAUGGAAAUCUACUUUUCUUGACAUGUCUGUCAGCAAGCAGCAGAAGCACACCUUACCAGCAUGUGGAGGAAAAAUUAUUGAAACCAGC